rnacentral:rRNA from 1 species
AAGAAAGUAAUAAAGAGUACACGGGGGAUGCCUUGGCUCUCAGAGGCGAUGAAGGACGUGAUAAGCUGCGAUAAGCUCCGGGGAUCUGCAAAUAGGAACUAGAUCCGGAGAUUUCCGAAUGGGGCAACCCGGCAUGUUGAAGACAUGUCACAUAUAAUGAGCAAACCUGCCGAACUGAAACAUCUAAGUAAGCAGAGGAAGAGAAAAUAACAAUGAUUUCCUGAGUAGUGGCGAGCGAAAGGGAAAGAGCCCAAACCUACCUUGUUACGGCAAAGUGGGGGUUGUAGGACUGCAACGUGGCAUUGGUAAACAGAAGUGGAACGGGAUGGGAAGCCCGGCGAUACAUGGUGACAGCCCAGUACACGUAUAGAAUACCAGUCUAGCAGUAUCCUGAGUACCGCGAGGUCGGAGACGCCUUGUGGGAAUCAGCCGGCACCAUCCGGUAAGGCUAAAUACUCCUGAGAGACCGAUAGUGAACCAGUACCGUGAGGGAAAGGUGAAAAGAACCCCGAACAGGGGAGUGAAAUAGAACCUGAAACCGUGUACUUACAAGCGGUCGGAGCUGGCAGGUCCAGUGACGGCGUGCCUUUUGCAUAAUGAGCCUACGAGUUACUCUUCUCUGGCAAGGUUAAGUGCUUCAGGCACGGAUCCGAAGCGAAAGCGAGUCUGAACAGGGCGUAUAGUCAGAGGAGGUAGACGCGAAACCUUGUGAUCUACCCAUGGACAGGUUGAAGGUGCGGUAACACGUACUGGAGGACCGAACCGAUAAACGUUGAAAAGUUUCCGGAUGAUCUGUGGGUAGGGGUGAAAGGCUAAUCAAACUGGGAAAUAGCUCGUACUCCCCGAAAUGUUUUUAGGAACAGCGUCGGUGUUUAGUUAUAUAGAGGUAGAGCUACUGAUUGGGUGCGGGGGAGUCAAAUCCUACCAAAUCCAGACAAACUCCGAAUGCUAUAUAAUAUAACCGGCAGUGAGGCGCGGGGUGCUAAGGUCACGCGCCGAGAGGGAAAGAACCCAGACCAUCAGCUAAGGUCCCCAAGUUACAGUUAAGUUGAACUAACGAGGUCCGAUUGCACAGACAGCUAGGAUGUUGGCUUGGAAGCAGCCAUUCAUUUAAAGAGUGCGUAACAGCUCACUAGUCGAGCGAUCGGGCAUGGAUAAUAAACGGGCAU